GAUGAACGCUGGCGGCGUGCCUAAUACAUGCAAGUCGAGCGAACGGACGAGGAGCUUGCUUCUCUGAUGUUAGCGGCGGACGGGUGAGUAACACGUGGAUAACCUACCUAUAAGACUGGGAUAACUUCGGGAAACCGUAGCUAAUACCGGAUAAUAUUUUGAACCGCAUGGUUCAAUAGUGAAAGACGGUCUUGCUGUCACUUAUAGAUGGAUCCGCGCUGCAUUAGCUAGUUGGUAAGGUAACGGCUUACCAAGGCAACGAUGCAUAGCCGACCUGAGAGGGUGAACGGCCACACGGGAACUGAGACACGGUCCAGACUCCUACGGGAGGCAGCAGUAGGGAAUCUUCCGCAAUGGGGGAAAGCCUGACGGAGCAACGCCGCGUGAGUGAUGAAGGUCUUCGGAUCGUGAAACUCUGUUAUUAGGGAAGAACAAAUGUGUAAGUAACUGUGCACAUCUUGACGGUACCUAAUCAGAAAGCCACGGCUAACUACGUG
rnacentral:rRNA from 1 species